rnacentral:pre_miRNA from 1 species
AGCCUUCUUUAUCCGUGUUGACAUUUUAUCACACACUAGGCCACAAGGGCUGAUGUGACUUCCAAGAUAAGUGAGGUG